rnacentral:rRNA from 1 species
UUGAACGCUGGCGGCAGGCCUAACACAUGCAAGUCGAACGGUAACAGGAAGCAGCUUGCUGCUUUGCUGACGAGUGGCGGACGGGUGAGUAAUGUCUGGGAAACUGCCUGAUGGAGGGGGAUAACUACUGGAAACGGUAGCUAAUACCGCAUAACGUCGCAAGACCAAAGAGGGGGACCUUCGGGCCUCUUGCCAUCGGAUGUGCCCAGAUGGGAUUAGCUAGUAGGUGGGGUAACGGCUCACCUAGGCGACGAUCCCUAGCUGGUCUGAGAGGAUGACCAGCCACACUGGAACUGAGACACGGUCCAGACUCCUACGGGAGGCAGCAGUGGGGAAUAUUGCACAAUGGGCGCAAGCCUGAUGCAGCCAUGCCGCGUGUAUGAAGAAGGCCUUCGGGUUGUAAAGUACUUUCAGCGGGGAGGAAGGGAGUAAAGUUAAUACCUUUGCUCAUUGACGUUACCCGCAGAAGAAGCACCGGCUAACUCCGUGCCAGCAGCCGCGGUAAUACGGAGGGUGCAAGCGUUAAUCGGAAUUACUGGGCGUAAAGCGCACGCAGGCGGUUUGUUAAGUCAGAUGUGAAAUCCCCGGGCUCAACCUGGGAACUGCAUCUGAUACUGGCAAGCUUGAGUCUCGUAGAGGGGGGUAGAAUUCCAGGUGUAGCGGUGAAAUGCGUAGAGAUCUGGAGGAAUACCGGUGGCGAAGGCGGCCCCCUGGACGAAGACUGACGCUCAGGUGCGAAAGUGUGGGGAGCAAACAGGAUUAGAUACCCUGGUAGUCCACGCCGUAAACGAUGUCGACUUGGAGGUUGUGCCCUUGAGGCGUGGCUUCCGGAGCUAACGCGUUAAGUCGACCGCCUGGGGAGUACGGCCGCAAGGUUAAAACUCAAAUGAAUUGACGGGGGCCCGCACAAGCGGUGGAGCAUGUGGUUUAAUUCGAUGCAACGCGAAGAACCUUACCUGGUCUUGACAUCCACGGAAGUUUUCAGAGAUGAGAAUGUGCCUUCGGGAACCGUGAGACAGGUGCUGCAUGGCUGUCGUCAGCUCGUGUUGUGAAAUGUUGGGUUAAGUCCCGCAACGAGCGCAACCCUUAUCCUUUGUUGCCAGCGGUCCGGCCGGGAACUCAAAGGAGACUGCCAGUGAUAAACUGGAGGAAGGUGGGGAUGACGUCAAGUCAUCAUGGCCCUUACGACCAGGGCUACACACGUGCUACAAUGGCGCAUACAAAGAGAAGCGACCUCGCGAGAGCAAGCGGACCUCAUAAAGUGCGUCGUAGUCCGGAUUGGAGUCUGCAACUCGACUCCAUGAAGUCGGAAUCGCUAGUAAUCGUGGAUCAGAAUGCCACGGUGAAUACGUUCCCGGGCCUUGUACACACCGCCCGUCACACCAUGGGAGUGGGUUGCAAAAGAAGUAGGUAGCUUAACCUUCGGGAGGGCGCUUACCACUUUGUGAUUCAUGACUGGGGUG